UACGUAGGGGGGCAAGCGUUUGUCCGGAUUUAUUGGGCGUAAAGAGCUCGUAGGCGGUCUGUCGCGUCUGCUGUGAAAACUCAGGGCUUAACCCUGAGCUUGCAGUGGGUACGGGCAGACUAGAGUGCGGUAGGGGAGACUGGAAUUCCUGGUGUAGCGGUGAAAUGCGCAGAUAUCAGGAGGAACACCGGUGGCGAAGGCGGGUCUCUGGGCCGUAACUGACGCUGAGGAGCGAAAGCAUGGGGAGCGAACAGG
rnacentral:rRNA from 1 species